rnacentral:rRNA from 1 species
GAUGAACGCUGGCGGCGUGCUUAACACAUGCAAGUCGAACGAAGCACUUUAUUUGAUUUCCUUCGGGACUGAUUAUUUUGUGACUGAGUGGCGGACGGGUGAGUAACGCGUGGGUAACCUGCCUUGUACAGGGGGAUAACAGUUGGAAACGGCUGCUAAUACCGCAUAAGCGCACAGCAUCGCAUGAUGCAGUGUGAAAAACUCCCGUGGUAUAAGAUGGACCCGCGUUGGAUUAGCUAGUUGGUGAGGUAACGGCCCACCAAGGCGACGAUCCAUAGCCGACCUGAGAGGGUGACCGGCCACAUUGGGACGGAGACACGGCACAAACUCCUACGGGAGGCAGCAGUGGGGAAUAUUGCACAAUGGGCGAAAGCCUGAUGCAGCGACGCCGCGUGAGCGAAGAAGUAUUUCGGUAUGUAAAGCUCUAUCAGCAGGGAAGAUAAUGACGGUACCUGACUAAGAAGCACCGGCUAAAUACGUG